GAUGAACGCUAGCUACAGGCUUAACACAUGCAAGUCGAGGGGAAACGACAUUGAAGCUUGCUUCGAUGGUCGUCGACCGGCGCACGGGUGAGUAACGCGUAUCCAACCUGCCUCUGACCAAGGGAUAACCCGUCGAAAGUCGGCCUAAUACCUUAUGCAGUCGUCGGAAGUCAUCUGAUGACGACGAAAGAUUUCAUCGGUGAGAGAUGGGGAUGCGUCUGAUUAGCUUGUUGGCGGGGUAACGGCCCACCAAGGCAACGAUCAGUAGGGGUUCUGAGAGGAAGGUCCCCCCCAUUGGAACUGAGACACGGUCCAAACUCCUACGGGAGGCAGCAGUGAGGAAUAUUGGUCAAUGGGCGAGAGCCUGAACCAGCCAAGUAGCGUGCAGGAUGACGGCCCUAUGGGUUGUAAACUGCUUUUAUGCGGGGAUAAAGUGAGGGACGUGUCCUUCAUUGCAGGUACCGCAUGAAUAAGGACCGGCUAAUUCCGUG
rnacentral:rRNA from 1 species